UGGGGAAUAUUGCACAAUGGGCGCAAGCCUGAUGCAGCCAUGCCGCGUGUGUGAAGAAGGCCUUCGGGUUGUAAAGCACUUUCAGCGGGGAGGAAGGCGUUAAGGUUAAUAACCUUGGCGAUUGACGUUACCCGCAGAAGAAGCACCGGCUAACUCCGUGCCAGCAGCCGCGGUAAUACGGAGGGUGCAAGCGUUAAUCGGAAUUACUGGGCGUAAAGCGCACGCAGGCGGUCUGUCAAGUCGGAUGUGAAAUCCCCGGGCGCAGCCUGGGAACUGCAUUCGAAACUGGCAGGCUAGAGUCUUGUAGAGGGGGGUAGAAUUCCAGGUGUAGCGGUGAAAUGCGUAGAGGUCUGGAGGAAUACCGGUGGCGAAGGCGGCCCCCUGGACGAAGACUGACGCUCAGGUGCGAAAGCGUGGGGAGCAAACAGG
rnacentral:rRNA from 1 species